rnacentral:misc_RNA from 1 species
AGUUAAAACAAUAAAUUUUGUUUAUUUGUUUCCUAACAUACCCUCCACUCAUAUUGCCCCAUUAAAAUUUAAAUAACUCAUGUUACUAAAUUUUUCCUAGAACUAAUGAAUUUUUUUUCCAAUACAUAUAAAAUGGGGGCGUAUUAGUAAUCUACUAAAUAUACUACUAUUUCAAAAUAGAAAAUGGCCUAGAAUUUGGGACAGAUGAAAAGGAAAAGUGAGCCUAUUUUUAUGGGACAUAGUAAGUAUUUACAUAAAAAACUAUCAUUUAGACAUUUUAAUAAAAAAAAAACAAAUGAUAUACAAAGAUAUCAUUAGUUUU